ACAACUCACGGACACAUCUAAGAUCUAACCAUUCUCUCUCCUUCAGAUUUCUCUUAGAGCCUCUCUCCUAUCUCCUAUCUCCUUUCUUCCUUCGUCUCUUAACCCUAGCCGCAACUCCCUCUCAUUAUUUCUCCAUCUCUCUCUGCUACCUCUCCCUCUCUCUCUAUCUCUCUGCUACAUCUCCCUCUCCCUCUCCCUCUCCCUCUCCACCAGGUUCUGCAAGGAUUGAUGAUGGGAAUAUUGCAUUAUUUUGCUUUUCCUUGCUGGGCAUUUGGCGGACUUGAUUCUUCUAUGGGAAUGAGAAUAUCAGCAGAGGGAGAGAAGUUCUAUUUUACUGUUUUGAUGUGCAGAAUGUUGUGUUGAAUCUGAUGGGGCUGCUGUUUGGAAGGAUUCACUGUUUUUUAAAUCAUUAUUUGUAAUAACUAUAUAAUUAAGCACAAUAGGAUUGUAUUUCUUUGAGAAUCAUGUUCUGUAAUAAUUAUUAUUGCUUGC